rnacentral:lncRNA from 1 species
GGGUGACAAUUUGAUAAAAUUAACAUUUAUGGGGGACAAUUUUGGAAACAGUCUUCUGCAUAGCGAUAACAAGCACCGGUAGAUAAGCAACACGUGCAACGCCCACCAUCAGAACACGGGUUGGUUCCGCAAUCACCUCCACCUCCCUUCACUCCAAUAAUGUUGGCUUCUACUUCAUGCCUAAUACCUAUAUCAAAAUUUACUUCACUCCAAUAAUGUUGGCUUCUACUUCAUGCCUAAUAC